UACGUAGGGGGCAAGCGUUGUCCGGAUUUAUUGGGCGUAAAGAGCGUGUAGGCGGCCAUACAGGUCCGUUGUGAAAACUUGAGGCUCAACCUCGAGACGCCGGUGGAAACCGUAAAGCUAGAGUCCGGAAGAGGAGAGUGGAAUUCCUGGUGUAGCGGUGAAAUGCGCAGAUAUCAGGAGGAACACCGGUGGCGAAGGCGGGUCUCUGGGCCGAUACUGACGCUGAGACGCGAAAGCGUGGGGAGCAAACAGG
rnacentral:rRNA from 1 species